rnacentral:rRNA from 1 species
AACGAACGCUGGCGGCGUGCUUAACACAUGCAAGUCGAACGAGAAGUACGUAGCAAUACGUAUUGUAAAGUGGCGAACGGGUGAGUAACACGUGGGUAACCUGCCCUUGAGUUUGGGAUAACCCCGCGAAAGCGGGGCUAAUACCGAAUAAGACCACGGGGACGAAAGUUCCUGAGGUAAAAGAUGGCCUCUAUUUAUAAGCUAUCACUUGAGGAUGGGCCCGCGGCCCAUUAGCUAGUUGGUAGGGUAACGGCCUACCAAGGCGAUGAUGGGUAGCUGGUCUGAGAGGACGAUCAGCCACACUGGAACUGAGACACGGUCCAGACACCUACGGGAGGCAGCAGUGGGGAAUAUUGCGCAAUGGGCGAAAGCCUGACGCAGCAACGCCGCGUGGGUGAUGAAGGUUCUCGGAUUGUAAACCCCUUUCGAUCGGAACGAAUCCCCUUCUGGUAAACAAUCAGGAGGGUCGACGGUACCGAGAGAAGAAGCCACGGCUAACUCUGUGCCAGCAGCCGCCGCGGUAA